rnacentral:piRNA from 1 species
AGCUUACUGGAAAAAAAUCAA